CCAACCAAAUGAUUAGAUUUUAGGGCUUUGAGCCUCAAAACUGAUAUAUGCCUGACAUCUGAGGAGAGGGAUGGGACUGGAGAUUGAGUUACCAACUCAAAGGCAAUGAUUCAACCAACUCUGCCUACGUAAUGAAACCCUAAUAAAAUCUCUGGAUACUGAAGUUCAGCAGAUGCAUGGGCGCAGGAGGGCGGAGAGGAGCUACUCCACGCAAAGGUCAGGAGGGGCGGCCAUGAGAAGAUACCCCUUGUCCAAGGUAAGGAGCAGCGGCUGUGCUUUGCUGGAGCAGCCAUGAAGAGAUACCCCACGUCCAAGGCUGACACCACCAAUCAGCUUCGACUCAGCAAGGUCACUGUUCAGACUUGACUCGUGAUUGGCUGCUGCGCUUCAGCGUGUUAUUACUGUCUGAUUUGAUCGGAGGCAGGGGGUGGUCUCCAAUCAAACAGAGAAAAGGUCCUAGAGAAGGCAGGUGGGAUCAAACCCGUACCCCUCCGCAUUGGAAGAAGCUUUAAUCAUUGGACCACCAGGGAAAUCUGGAAACUACCCAACUGACCCAGAGUGAUACCAGGAGCUCAGUGCAAGCACAUGCAGAGGUUCCCCAAAGAUGGGGCCAAUAUCAAGUUUCCACAGGUAAUAAAGCCUUUGUCAUCUGUCAUCAAGAGUCCAUUUCUCCAUCCUUUAAUUCUGGACUGGACUUGUAAGUUUUUUGGCCAAUCAAAUGAACCAGAAAGGACAUCAAGCUGCUACUGAACAGAGAUCUUAAGAAGUCUUGCAGCUUUCUUUGUGUCACUAUCAGAACAGACUGAGUGGAGCUGAGGGGAGAUGGAGACCAUGUGGAGCAGAAAUAAGCAGACCAGCUGAGAUCCAACCACCAGAUGAAUGAAUGAGGACAUCCUAGGCUUUCCGUCCCCAGCAGGGCUGCCGACUACAAAGAUCAGCUGAUUCCACUUAGACCAGACAUUUUGGGCUGUCCCAGUCAUCUCAGUCAACUCACAGAACACGAGCUAGAUAAUAAAUAUUUGUGGUUUUUAGGUACUAGGUUGUGGGACACUUGGAUCAUCUUUUCCUUUUGAUAUAUAAAUUCUAUCACUAUCCUUGAAUAUUUCAGUGUCCGUAUAGAGAUUUUACAGACAUCCUUUAUUAUAUGAUUUGGCUUCUUUGAAGAACUUUAC
ensembl:lncRNA